rnacentral:rRNA from 1 species
UACAGAGGUGGCAAGCGUUGUUCGGAAUCAUUGGGCGUAAAGGGCGCGUAGGUGGUUUUGUGUGUCUACCGUGAAAGCGUACGGCUCAACCGUAUUUUGUCGGUAGAAACUGCAGGACUUGAGGCUGGGAGGGGCUGGUGGAAUUCCCUGUGUAGCGGUGAAAUGCGUUGAUAUCAUCAGGAACACCAGUGGCGAAAGCGGCUCACUGGGUCUUUCCUAACGCUGAGGCACGAAAGCUAGGGGAGCGAACGGG